GUUAAGGGCGUCGAGCGGCGGACGGGUGAGUAAUGCCUGGGAAAUUGCCCUGAUGUGGGGGAUAACCAUUGGAAACGAUGGCUAAUACCGCAUAAUGUCUACGGACCAAAGAGGGGGACCUUCGGGCCUCUCGCUUCAGGAUAUGCCCAGGUGGGAUUAGCUAGUUGGUGAGGUAAUGGCUCACCAAGGCGACGAUCCCUAGCUGGUCUGAGAGGAUGAUCAGCCACACUGGAACUGAGACACGGUCCAGACUCCUACGGGAGGCAGCAGUGGGGAAUAUUGCACAAUGGGCGCAAGCCUGAUGCAGCCAUGCCGCGUGUAUGAAGAAGGCCUUCGGGUUGUAAAGUACUUUCAGUCGUGAGGAAGGCAUUAACGUUAAUAGCGUUGGUGUUUGACGUUAGCGACAGAAGAAGCACCGGCUAACUCCGUGCCAGCAGCCGCGGUAAUACGGAGGGUGCGAGCGUUAAUCGGAAUUACUGGGCGUAAAGCGCAUGCAGGUGGUUUGUUAAGUCAGAUGUGAAAGCCCGGGGCUCAACCUCGGAACCGCAUUUGAAACUGGCAGGCUAGAGUACUGUAGAGGGGGGUAGAAUUUCAGGUGUAGCGGUGAAAUGCGUAGAGAUCUGAAGGAAUACCAGUGGCGAAGGCGGCCCCCUGGACAGAUACUGACACUCAGAUGCGAAAGCGUGGGGAGCAAACAGGAUUAGAUACCCUGGUAGUCCACGCCGUAAACGAUGUCUACUUGGAGGUUGUGGCCUUGAGCCGUGGCUUUCGGAGCUAACGCGUUAAGUAGACCGCCUGGGGAGUACGGUCGCAAGAUUAAAACUCAAAUGAAUUGACGGGGGCCCGCACAAGCGGUGGAGCAUGUGGUUUAAUUCGAUGCAACGCGAAGAACCCUUACCUACUCUUUGACAUCCAGAGAAACUUU
rnacentral:rRNA from 1 species